rnacentral:lncRNA from 1 species
AGUGGGUCCAGAAGAAGAGGGUGUUUGGACUAGCUUUUAAAAGGCGGAGGAUGUUUAGACUAGCUUUUAAAAAGCACUUUUGAGUUGAAAAGUGAUUUCGAUUUAAUAGAGCAUUUGACAACUUACUUUUAAAAUCUGAUUCUGCUUUUUAGAAUCAGAAACUGAUUUUGAAGGCUCCAGAAUCAGAAACAGAAAAAAACUGCUUUUUGAAAUCUGAUUCUGAUUUUGGAUUUCAACUUCAAAUUUUUAUUUUUAUUUUAAUUUCAAUAUUUAAAUUUAAAUUUAAUUUUAAAUUUUAAUUUUCAGAUUCAUUUUUGAAUUUUUAAAUUUUAACUUUUAAAUUU